rnacentral:tRNA from 1 species
UUGGUUAGAGCAGACGGCUCAUAACCGUCCGGUCGUAGGUUCGAGUCCUACAAGGUCCA